CGAGACCGUUGACAGCGAGCGCGUGCGGCCUGGCCCCGCCCCUCGCGCCUGCGCAGAAGCACGCGGCGUCGAGACGGUUGGCGGCGGGCGAGGCGGCGCCAUGCGGCCGGGUCCCGCGGCCUGGUGUCGCUGGGCGGGCGGCGCGGCGCUGGGGCUGGCGCUGGCGCUGGCCCUGGAGGCGCUGGCGCGGGCGGCCGGCGGGCGGUGGCGGCGGCGGCCCGUGCGCGAGGUGCUGUUCUUCCCGUCGCGGGUGACGUGCACCGAGGCGCUGCUGGCGGAGCCCGGCCCCGGGCCGUGCCCCUGCGCCUGCGCCCUGCCGCACGGCGACAGCGCCCUGAGCCGCCUGCUCCGCCGCCUGCUGGCCGCGCGCCGCUCCCUCGAGCUCUGCGUCUUCGCCUUCUCCAGCCCGCAGCUCGCCCGCGCCGUGCACCUGCUGCACCGCCGCGGCGUCCGCGUGCGCGUCGUCACCGACGCCGACUACAUGGCGGUCAACGGCUCCCAGAUCGGCCGCCUGCGCCUGGCCGGGAUUCAGGUGCGCCACGACCAGGAGAGUGGCUACAUGCAUCACAAAUUUGCUAUUGUGGACCAGAAGAUGCUCAUCACCGGCUCCCUCAACUGGACCACUCAAGCCAUUCAGAGCAACCGGGAGAAUGUGCUGAUCGUGGAGGACGCAGAAUAUGUGAAGCCUUUCCUGGCAGAGUUCGAAAGGAUCUGGGAAGAGUACAAUCCAGCCAAUUACACGUUUUUCCCCAAAGGAAAGAAAUAGAAAUAAUCAAGCUGUUCCUUGGAGCUGGAGGAAGCCUUGGCAAGUGGGAUCUUUGCAGCAAGCUCAUCUGUAUUUAGUUUAUAGCUACAAAGACCAGCCCAUUAUGAGCUUCCAGACAUUCGCAUCCAUUGGGCUGCAAUAUAGUUCAACUUCUCUGCAAGAGUGAAGGAUUCAGAGUCAAGUUCGUUGUGAGCUAAAUGAAAGUGUAUGACCCAACAUCCUGGAUACACUAUUUUGCGAGUGUUAACAACAGCAAGGGUCUGUUGCAACUCUGGUGGUGGAGUUCAAGGUAGUGGCUCAUUCACUGACAUGUACUGGAGCGGGACAGGAAAAGCAAGGGCACUUUUGGGGAUCUACGCUGGCUCAAAGACUUCCCUUUCAUCAUGGGAGCCAAUGAGCAGUGCCAACCUGCUCCCUCCUGGAUCCCUACUUGGAAAGCAAACUUCAGAAACGAGGCAGGUGAGCAAAGCCACUAUAAAUUGCGACUUCAGUUCUCCAAAGAGAAAGCCUGGUUUGGUGGGCCCAGGCACUAGGAAACAGGACAGGAGGCCAUGUGAUCUAGAUGCAUGAAAGCACUUCAGGGAGCACGGUGAAGAGCAUGUAAGAACUGGGGCACAAUGAACCCUGGGUACCUUGAGAGAGCCACAUCUGACACCUGCCUGUACUUGGGGCUCUUAUACACUAAUGCACAGGCUUGCAUUGGCCAAACGAUCCUGAUUUCACAACCUUUCUGGCAACUCCAAACCAAGCUGCUGGGUCAGAUCCACUCACACUUAUCCUCGUGUAAUUCAGUUCCCUUGACUAGGAAGGCUUUAAUCUUGCCCUCUUUAAAGGGGUCGAGAAUCCAAGCGUAAUGCCUCCAGUAACAGUACCAUACACCAGAGGUUCCCAACCCCCAGGCCGCAAAGGGUUGGCUGCCAGACCAGAAGUGGCAUACUGCGGACCAGCAGUCAACCCUUUUUUAUACUGAGUUUAAAAAAGGGUUGGCUGCCAGUCUGCCGGUCACUUCCAGUCUGCAGUAUGCUGGUCUGCAGUUUGCCUGUCCGCAGUCUAAAAAGGUUGGCAAUCACUGGCAUACACUACCAGUCUUUGCUUGAAAUAUCAGCCCUUGGGUACAAGCCAACAACCCAGUGCGGGACUUGAACCCAUGACUGAAUAAAGCAGGCUUCCUAGGCUAGGUCUCUGCAGGUAUCGUGUCAAGGAGGAAAUUGGUAAAGGCUCUCUACUCGUUUUAGUUGGGAGGUACAGUAUUGAACGUAUUAUAAAUGCAUUGCUGUAAAUCUGAGAAGCCAGAGUGCAGCCACACCUAUACCUGUUAUUAGCAAGGCAGUAAAGUUCUCCAUAGCACAGAAGGGAAACUAGUAUUUUAGUACGCAUACCGGAGAGUUUGAGGAAAGCGCCUGGUAAGCUUCCUACUUAACGACAAUUAAAUAUGGAUUUUAGUUCCUGUCCCCUCAAUUCCUAUGCUCUUCCAGAGCAUGAUACACCCAAUCUGCAAUACCGCAUCAGCCCAGGGCUGCUGGAGGGGGUGCAGGGGGAGGGGGCUUCUACUCUUUUCUUUAUCUGACAGACUGAAGGUUUUCCAGCAGUUUGAAACAGCCAAGGGCAGAACAGUCUUGUGGGUGUUAGUGUCUGGAAACAACCAAAAGGCCAUUGUGAGUUACCGAAGAAAGGGAAUUGCUUAUGAAGCAAGACCACACCUCUGCACAAAGGACUCUCAGACCCUGCUUGGAGCCUGGCCCGUAGCCCUGGACACGGACAGCAAAGCCUUUUUUGCUGGUGAGACAAGAGUAUUAUUUACUGUUGGCAUGACUGACAACUAUGGGGGAGACCUGGGUAAGAGCUCAGCGAGGGCUUUUCCCUGCCCAGGUCCCUGUGGCUCGGAGCAUUCUCCGUUUACUGCCGACACGGCAGCAUCCAGGAAUCGAAGGACAGGAAGGCCAUUUCCUCACCUCUCUGUCCAGCACCCAGGUGCUGAAUGCCGGGUUUGCUUCUCGAGGGGGACAAGGAACUUGAGGGAGGUGCCCAUCUUUCUAGGCUGUUUAGCUAGUACUGGAACACCACCUACUCUUUCCUUACCUUCACACAGCCCAAACUGUAUACUAUCCUGCUGCUGGAGCAGGCUUGCCCAGCACUGCCCAACUCUAAGGUACUAUUGCUCCUUACAGAGCCAUCAACCAGACUUGCUUCUGCGUAAAUCCCAGGUCCUUGUGUGAAGCCUGAGUCAGCUGACCUGGCACAUCCUCCUCUCACUGAACCCAGCCAUCUGCUCAAGGGCUGCUAGCAAUGCUGUAUUGCCCUGCUGCAGCACCAGAUCCAGUUGGAAGUGGUCUGGAGUUUUAAAAAUAAACUAAUGUUUUCAAAGACGUAAUUUGAAAAGGGUGCGAUGUCUCUUGUCAGCCUUGAACAACGAAGCGUUGUGCAGAAAUGCCUUUUGUUGCCAUUGUUCCUCUUACAGACUUUUUGGUUAGUUGUAACAACUGUGCACUGUUUGUCAUGCAAAAUAAAAUUGCUGGAAGACACAGCAACACUGGAUUCCCCUGUUAGCAGCUUCAGAGCAGAGAUUGGUACUCCCCGCCCCCCAUAAAACUUGGACAUCUUUUUGGCAGCAAGAUUUCUGUGCCCCCCCCCCAGCCUUUCCUCCAUAACGAUGGGUUCUGAGGACAUUUAUUUGCAUUUCCUGUUAGAACUCGGAAGACAGCAGAGAUCGACUGAAGGUUUGAUCAGACUGGGAAAGACAGCUCUGGAAGGAAACUUUGUACGGAGAGUCACACACAAAAUCUACAUCUCAGGCAGGAGGAGGAGAAACAGUACAAUGUUCACGACUGUGGAGGCUGGAGGACAGCACAACAAUAUUAUUAAAGCAGGUUGAAAUUCCCCCUCCCGCUAAGGACCCAGCGCCCACCACAGAAACCAUUCCCAAUCAUGAAUUUUUCCCAUACUGAGACAAAGCCUUUUAAAACCCCAGUUGCAAGGGGCUGGAAGACCUGAGCAAUGCAUUUAGAAUACCCCACAGCACAGAAGCAGGAAGAAACCUAGGUCAUUUUAACUGGUUUCUCCCUCUUGACUGCCUUAGUUCUCAUGGGGGAUGUGCUCUUUCAGCUUGUACAAGUAUGACCCUCCCAAGACACCGGAAUAAGGUACUGGCAGGAAAGAAAAGCAUAAAAUUAAACAUAUGCAAAACCUU